rnacentral:rRNA from 1 species
GUCCACGCCCUAAACGAUGUCUACUAGUUGUUGGGUCUUAAUUGACUUAGUAACGCAGCUAACGCGUGAAGUAGACCGCCUGGGGAGUACGGUCGCAAGAUUAAACUCAAAGGAAUUGACGGGGACCCGCACAAGCGGUGGAUGAUGUGGAUUAAUUCGAUGCAACGCGAAAACCUUACCUACCCUUGACAUGGAUGGAACCUCGGAGAGAUCUGAGGGUGCUCGAAAGAGAACCAUCACACAGGUGCUGCAUGGCUGUCGU